UACGUAGGGUGCGAGCGUUGUCCGGAAUUAUUGGGGCGUAAAGAGCUUGUAGGCGGUUUGUCGCGUCUGCCGUGAAAUUUCGAGGCUCAACCUCGAACUUGCGGUGGGUACGGGCAGACUAGAGUGUGGUAGGGGAGACUGGAAUUCCUGGUGUAGCGGUGAAAUGCGCAGAUAUCAGGAGGAACACCGAUGGCGAAGGCAGGUCUCUGGGCCACUACUGACGCUGAGAAGCGAAAGCAUGGGGAGCGAACAGG
rnacentral:rRNA from 1 species